rnacentral:RNase_P_RNA from 1 species
AGGCGGUCGGAUAGCUGCGCCGCGGAAAAAGAUCCGUUGGUGAGGAAAGUCCGGGCUUCGUGGAAACAAAACACCGGAUAACGUCCGGCUGGAGCAAUCCAAGGGAAAGUGCCACAGAAAAUUACCGCCGAGCUAUAUGUUCGGUAAGGUUGAAAAGGCGGGGUAAGAGCCCACCGCGGUCGCAGUAAUGCAACCGGCAAGGUAAACCCUGUUUGAUGCAAGACCAAGUUAGGGGAGUUGUUUUUCAACUAUAAGGAGCGUUUCCACUCUGCCCCAGAGGUAGGUCGCGUUGAGCUGCUCGGUAACGGUCAGCCAAGAUGAAUAGCUAUCGCCACAAAUCUUUGCUCUGCAAAGCAAAUGUGUGUACAGAACCCGGCUUAUAGACCGCCUGU